rnacentral:rRNA from 1 species
GACGUAGGGCGCGAGCGUUGUCCGGAUUUAUUGGGCGUAAAGAGCUCGUAGGCGGCUUGUCGCGUCGUCCGUGAAAACUUGGGGCUCAACCCCAAGCUUGCGGUCGAUACGGGCAGGCUAGAGUUCGGUAGGGGAGACUGGAAUUCCUGGUGUAGCGGUGAAAUGCGCAGAUAUCAGGAGGAACACCGGUGGCGAAGGCGGAUCUCUGGGCCGAUACUGACGCUGAGGAGCGAAAGCGUGGGGAGCGAACAGG